AGGCAGCUUGGGACUGGAAGAAGGACCUUCGAAAUUUGGCCUCAGAGAACACCAAUAGGCAGCUUGGGACUGGAAGAAGGACCUUGGAAAUUUGGCCUCAGAGAACACAAAUAGAAGGUACUCCUUAUUUCGCGGGCAGCUUGGGACUGGAAGAAGGACCUUCGAAAUUUGGCCUCAGAGAACACCAA